rnacentral:rRNA from 1 species
UACAGAGGUCCCGAGCGUUGUUCGGAUUUAUUGGGCGUAAAGGGCGCGUAGGCGGCGGGGUAAGUCGGGUGUGAAAUCUCAGGGCUCAACCCUGAAACUGCACUUGAUACUGCUCUGCUUGAGGACUGGAGAGGAGACUGGAAUUCACGGUGUAGCAGUGAAAUGCGUAGAUAUCGUGAGGAAGACCAGUGGCGAAGGCGGGUCUCUGGACAGUUCCUGACGCUGAGGCGCGAAGGCCAGGGGAGCAAACGGG